rnacentral:rRNA from 1 species
UACAGAGGGUGCGAGCGUUGUCCGGAAUCACUGGGCGUAAAGGGCGCGUAGGCGGCCCGGUAAGGUUGCGGUGAAAGCCCGGGGCUCAACCCCGGGUCGGCCGUGGCAACUGCUGGGCUGGAGUACAGUAGAGGCGGGUGGAAUUCCGGGUGUAGCGGUGGAAUGCGUAGAGAUCCGGAAGAACACCGGUGGCGAAGGCGGCCCGCUGGGCUGUUGCUGACGCUGAGGCGCGACAGCGUGGGGAGCGAACAGG